rnacentral:snoRNA from 1 species
CCCCUCUCAGGGUCACACCUGCAGAGUUUCCAGUACUCUACCAGUGUCGACUAUGAGAGGGAGAGUCAAGCAGAGGUCUGUCCAUUCUAUUCCAUUCCUAGCUUGGGCAGUGGCUAGCGAGUGGAAGGCAAUCUGCUACAAGU